rnacentral:rRNA from 1 species
AUUGAACGCUGGCGGCAGGCCUAACACAUGCAAGUCGAGCGGAUGACGGGAGCUUGCUCCUUGAUUCAGCGGCGGACGGGUGAGUAAUGCCUAGGAAUCUGCCUGGUAGUGGGGGACAACGUUUCGAAAGGAGCGCUAAUACCGCAUACGUCCUACGGGAGAAAGUGGGGGAUCUUCGGACCUCACGCUAUCAGAUGAGCCUAGGUCGGAUUAGCUAGUUGGUGAGGUAAAGGCUCACCAAGGCGACGAUCCGUAACUGGUCUGAGAGGAUGAUCAGUCACACUGGAACUGAGACACGGUCCAGACUCCUACGGGAGGCAGCAGUGGGGAAUAUUGGACAAUGGGCGAAAGCCUGAUCCAGCCAUGCCGCGUGUGUGAAGAAGGUCUUCGGAUUGUAAAGCACUUUAAGUUGGGAGGAAGGGCAGUAAGUUAAUACCUUGCUGUUUUGACGUUACCAACAGAAUAAGCACCGGCUAACUUCGUGCCAGCCGCCGCCGUAAUAC